UUUCGAUUUGCCCAUUUAAUCUAUGUUAUUCAAUAGCUGACCAUUUGACUGUUGAGCUAAACUGGUGCAAGUCUUGAGGAAAUUUUAAAUUGCGUCUCGGUUGAUUAAUGAAAUUUUCAUUUCUUCGCAUUUGCAUUUUAAAUCUGUCUGGCCUUAUAAGCAACCAUUUUGCUAUUAAAUUUACUGGUUAUUAUGAGAAAUCUUUGAUUAUAGUUGACUUUUAGGUGUUCAAAUUACUCUAAUGAGUUGCAUCUAAUUCCCUAUCAAUUAGACCUUUAUUCUGAAUCCAAUAUUUUCCUGAACAAAUGAUGACUUCAAUAUGUAAUUUGAAUAAAAAAUGCCUCAAUAGUCAAUGGGUUUGAAAAUUGUGACAAAAUAUUUUCUGAUCUUAACAGUAAUUCAAAUUAAUCACACACCAUCUUGACAUUUGAUUGAUUGUUGUUUUUGUUCAUUUUUGCAUAGAGCUAUUGGUUUUGCAUAAACUUGAAAACAUUAUUAUUAUAAAAAUAUUAAUAUUGGACUAUUUAUUUCCUCUAAUUGAUUUUUAUCCACACUUUUGUUGCUUCAAAUUCACGUGAGAAAUCAGAUAAACUCAAUCAGAUAAUUUAACCCUUGAAAAUAUAUCAUUAAAUAAAAAUCGAAUCACUAAUGAAUUUUGAAUUCAAAAAAUGUGUCAACCGAUUGACAAUCGUAAUGAUUGUGAACUUGCAAUUUAUCAACAAAUGUAUAUAAAUCAACUAACUUAAUUAGAUUGUGUUUGUCUGAUUUUAUCUCAGUUCAAAUAAACGGAAAACAAUCAACAUCAAAGAGUCAAGAUUCAUUAUGAAUUAUUUAAUAUUAUAAUGUGCUUAGAUUUAUAGACGAUCCCUUAUUUGCGUCAAUUUAGAUCAACAGAUGCAUAAACAGUCAGUUUAUAUUUUGAAUCUUGUUGAUUGUGAUAACAAAAUAAUAGUUGAUCAUGAUUUAGAUUAAUUAAUAGAAGGAUUUACUUACAAUAUGUUUGUUCUGCAAGUUUAGUUAUCUUCUGUUUCUCUAUUUUACGGCUACAAUGGUUACCCAUUACCAGGAGUUACACAAGCCACAACAGAAGCAACAGGACAAUCAAUUUAAUUGAUGCCAAUGGGAUGGUUUCUUUAAUCACAAGAGUCAAUUAACAGUCGAAUGAAGUGACACAAUUAACACGUUUAUUAAUAAAUUCAAUCGGGAAGAAAGAUGAUAAAGUAAUUAUGUUUCUGGUGAUAUUGAUUGAAGAUAAAAGUUGAGUCAAGUCCAGAAAAGGUCUGCGCAAAGUUACCUGAUAAUUAAAUAUCAAUAACUGGAACAGUGUGUAUAAGCGCCCAGCUUUCACCCAAAAUUGCUACUGAUUAGUGAACAUCAAUCAAUGUUAAUCUUUGGUAUUUUUGAUAAUUUUAACUGCUAUUUAGGUUCAACCAUUCUGGAGGUGGCAAAUCAUAUCAACACGCUCAUCUCAUCCCAAUCGAUCUUGGAUUUUAUGAAAAUAUAAUAACAAUGUUAUUUUAAAACAAA